rnacentral:rRNA from 1 species
UCCGUAGGCGGUGUGGUAAGUCGAUAGUGAAAUCUCUGGGCUUAACCCAGAGGCUGCUAACGAAACUGCCAUGCUCGAGUGUGAGAGAGGCGAGUGGAAUUACGGGUGUAGCGGUGAAAUGCGUAGAUAUCCGUAGGAACAUCCGAGGCGAAAGCGGCUCGCUGGGUCACAACUGACGCUGAGGGACGAAAGCUAGGGGAGCAAACAGGAUUAGAUACCCUGGUAGUCCUAGCCCUAAACCAUCAGGACUUGGGGUUUGCCCUGUACGGGGCAAGUCCCGUAGCUAACGCGUUAAGUCCUGCGCCUGGGGAGUACGGUCGCAAGGCUGAA